rnacentral:misc_RNA from 1 species
GAUGAAGAACGCAGCGAAAUGCGAUACGUAAUGUGAAUUGCAGAAUUCAGUGAAUCAUCGAAUCUUUGAACGCACAUUGCACUCCUUGGUAUUCCGAGGAGUAUGCCUGUUUCAGUAUCAUGAGCACUCUCACAUCUAACCUUUGGGUUAAAAUGUGGAAUUGGGAUGCGCCGGUUAUUAUAACGGCCCUCCUAAAAUUCAGUUCUUGGCUACUUCCUACUACAGCAGUUUGGCCUAAUAGUUUUGAGUCUUCGAUUCAAAUCUUUGGCUAACAUUUGCUUCAGGAUGUCAGUCUUGAUAUACAGAAAUCUCAUUCAAACUUUGAUCUGAAAUCAGGUAGGGCUACCCGCUGAACUUAAGCAUAUCAAUAAGCGGAGGA